GAUGAACGCUGGCGGCGUGCCUAAUACAUGCAAGUCGAGCGAACAGACGAGGAGCUUGCUCCUCUGACGUUAGCGGCGGACGGGUGAGUAACACGUGGAUAACCUACCUAUAAGACUGGGAUAACUUCGGGAAACCGGAGCUAAUACCGGAUAAUAUAUUGAACCGCAUGGUUCAAUAGUGAAAGACGGUUUUGCUGUCACUUAUAGAUGGAUCCGCGCCGCAUUAGCUAGUUGGUAAGGUAACGGCUUACCAAGGCAACGAUGCGUAGCCGACCUGAGAGGGUGAUCGGCCACACUGGAACUGAGACACGGUCCAGACUCCUACGGGGGGCAGAAGUAGGGAAUCUUCCGCAAUGGGCGAAAGCCUGACGGAGCAACGCCGCGUGAGUGAUGAAGGUCUUCGGAUCGUAAAACUCUGUUAUUAGGGAAGAACAAAUGUGUAAGUAACUAUGCACGUCUUGACGGUACCUAAUCAGAAAGCCACGGCUAACUACG
rnacentral:rRNA from 1 species